rnacentral:rRNA from 1 species
AACGAACGCUGGCGGCAUGCCUAACACAUGCAAGUCGAACGAAGCCUUCGGGCUUAGUGGCGCACGGGUGCGUAACACGUGGGAAUCUGCCCUUCGGUUCGGAAUAACAGUUAGAAAUGACUGCUAAUACCGGAUGAUGACGAAAGUCCAAAGAUUUAUCGCCGAAGGAUGAGCCCGCGUAGGAUUAGGUAGUUGGUAGGGUAAUGGCCUACCAAGCCGACGAUCCUUAGCUGGUCUGAGAGGAUGAUCAGCCACACUGGGACUGAGACACGGCCCAGACUCCUACGGGAGGCAGCAGUGGGAAUAUUGGACAAUGGGCGAAAGCCUGAUCCAGCAAUGCCGCGUGAGUGAUGAAGGCCUUAGGUUGUAAAGCUCUUUUACCAGGGAUGAUAAUGACAGUACCUGGAGAAUAAGCUCCGGCUAACUCCGUGCCAGCAGCCGCGGUAAU